UACAGAGGAGCCAAGCGUUGUCCGGAUUGACUGGGCGUAAAGCGCACGCAGGCGGCCGCGCGCGUGGGGUGUGAAAUCUGGCCGCUUAACGGCCAGGCGCCAUCCCAUACGGCGCGGCUGGAGCCAUGCAGAGGGCGGUGGAAUUGCCGGUGUAGUGGUGAAAUGCGUAGAGAUCGGCAGGAACACCCCAGGGGGAAACCAGCCGCCUGGGCAUGCGCUGACGCUGAGGUGCGAGAGCGUGGGGAGCGA
rnacentral:rRNA from 1 species